UUCUUUAAAAUUAAAAAUUUUGGCGGUAUUUUAGUCUUUUCAGAGGAACAAGUUCUAUAAUUGAUAAUACACGAUAAGUUUUACUUUACUUAAUAAUUUAUAUAUCAUCGUAGUUUGAAUAUUUCAUUUUAAAAUAUUUUCAGAUCAAGGUGUAGUUUAUAGUAAAGUAAGAAUGGGUUACAAUAAAAAUUUAAAUUAAAUUGGAUUUGAGAGUAAGCUCUAAAAUAUGCACAUAUCGCCCGUCGCUUUCAUUAUAAAAUGGAAUAAGUCGUAACAUAGUAGGCUUAUUGGAAAAUGAGCCUAGAAUUCAAAUUAGAGCUUUAUAAGUAUUUUAUUUACAUUAAAAAGUUAAUUGUUAAUUCAGUUUAAUUUGAAUAUAUUUAUUUAUUAAAUUUUUAAUUAAUAAAGGUUUAAUUAAAAAAUUAUUUAUUUUAUUAUAUUUUUAAAAAAAUUUAAUUAUAGUUCAUAGUACUGAAAAGUAAUAUUAUUUUAUUUUUAAAAGAAAAAUUUAUUUUUUGUACCUUGUGUGUCAGGGUUAAUUAAUUUAAUUUUCUCGAAUCUAAAAGAGCUAAUUUUAUUGUAGAAUAAAUAUUUAAAAUUUAUAGUUAGUAAUGAAACGUUAUUCGUUUUUAGAUAUAUCUAGUUUUUUAAGAAAUAAAUUUAAUUUAGUUAUUAUUUAUAAUUAUUAUAAGGGAUAAGCUUUAAUAUAAAUAUUUAUAAAUUAUGUAUUAUUAAAAAUUUAUAGGAUUAGAAUUUUUUAUUGUUAAAAUAAUGUUAUAAUUAAAUUUUUUAAGUUUUUAUUAAAAUAAUAUUUUUAAUUUAAAUUGAUAUUAAAUUAUGAUUAAAUUAGUAAAGUUAAUAUAAGGAAUUCGGCAAAUAAAUUUUUUACCUGUUUAUUAAAAACAUGGCUUUUUGAGUAUAAUUUAAAGUCUGACCUGCCCAAUGAUUUAAUGGCCGCAGUAUUUUGACUGUGCAAAGGUAGCAUAAUCAUUAGUUUUUUAAUUGAAAGCUGGAAUGAAUGGUUUGAUAAAAAAAUUACUGUCUCUAGAACUUUAUUUUUAAGUUAAAAAGCUUAAAUUAUAUAAAUAGACGAGAAGACCCUAUAGAGUUUUUUUGUUGGGGUGAUAUAAAAAUUAAAUAAACUUUUUAUUUAA
rnacentral:rRNA from 1 species